rnacentral:rRNA from 1 species
UACGAAGGGGGCUAGCGUUGCUCGGAAUCACUGGGCGUAAAGGGUGCGUAGGCGGGUCUUUAAGUCAGGGGUGAAAUCCUGGAGCUCAACUCCAGAACUGCCUUUGAUACUGAGGAUCUUGAGUUCGGGAGAGGUGAGUGGAACUGCGAGUGUAGAGGUGAAAUUCGUAGAUAUUGGGAAGAACACCGGUGGCGAAGGCGGCUAUCUGGACCACAACUGACGCUGAGGCGCGAAAGCGUGGGGAGCGAACAGG